UACGACUACAUAUCAGGCAUAUCAAUAAGCGGAGGAAAAGAAACUAACAAGGAUUCCCCUAGUAACGGCGAGUGAUGCGGGAAGAGCUCAAAUUUGAAAUCUUAAAGGGUUUCCCUUGACGAAUUGUAGUUUAAAGAAGUGUUUUCGGUUAGAGGAGUUCGUAAAAGUUCUUUGGAAUAGGACAUCAUAGAGGGUGAGAAUCCCGUAUUUGACCUAUUACUUUCUAGCUGUGUGAUACACUUUCAAAGAGUCGGAUUGUUUGGGAAUGCAGUCCAAAAUGGGUGGUAAAUUUCAUCUAAAGCUAAAUAUUGGCGAGAGACCGAUAGCGAACAAGUACCGUGAGGGAAAGAUGAAAAGAACUUUGAAAAGAGAGUUAAACAGUACGUGAAAUUGUCAAAAGGGAAGCGUUUGACACCAGUGUUGUUUAGUUGAAAAUCAAUUCAAUAGUUUUUGAUUCUAAGUAGUAUUGACUUCAUCAGCUUGCUGCUUUCUUCUCAGAAAUUAUUGAAUGCACUUUUCAGUUAACAAGUCAACAUCAAUUUCCUUUGUUGUAAAAGGGUAAGAGGAAGGUGGCUUGCGCUUCGGCUCAAGUGUUUAUAGCCUUUUAUCUCUGCAAUCGGAGAGAUUGAGGUCUGCAGCGUAGAUCCUUCGGGGUUAGAUACAUUGGUGCUAAGCUAUAGCCUUGUAUAGACAACUUGUUGACUAUGCUCAGUCAUGUAGCUUACUCGCUGAUGCUAUUUUACCUACGCUUAGGAUGUUGACACACGCGCGUGCUCG
rnacentral:rRNA from 1 species